UACGUAGGGGGCUAGCGUUAUCCGGAUUUAUUGGGCGUAAAGGGAACGCAGGCGGUCUUUUAAGUCUGAUGUGAAAGCCUUCGGCUUAACCGGAGUAGUGCAUUGGAAACUGGGAGACUUGAGUGCAGAAGAGGAGAGUGGAACUCCAUGUGUAGCGGUGAAAUGCGUAGAUAUAUGGAAGAACACCAGUGGCGAAAGCGGCUCUCUGGUCUGUAACUGACGCUGAGGUUCGAAAGCGUGGGUAGCAACCAGG
rnacentral:rRNA from 1 species